UACGGAGGGUGCAAGCGUUAUCCGGAUUCACUGGGUUUAAAGGGUGUGUAGGAGGACAGGUAAGUCAGUGGUGAAAUCUCCGAGCUUAACUUGGAACUGCCGUUGAUACUAUCUGCCUUGAAUAUUGUGGAGGUGAGCGGAAUAUGUCAUGUAGCGGUGAAAAUGCUUAGAUAUGACAUAGAACACCAAUUGCGAAGGCAGCUCGCUACGCGAAUAUUGACACUGAGGCACGAAAGCGUGGGGAUCAAACAGG
rnacentral:rRNA from 1 species